rnacentral:rRNA from 1 species
UUCAUGGCUCAGAUUGAACGCUGGCGGCAGGCCUAACACAUGCAAGUCGAGCGGUAACAGAGAGUAGCUUGCUACUUUGCUGACGAGCGGCGGACGGGUGAGUAAUGCUUGGGAACAUGCCUUGAGGUGGGGGACAACAGUUGGAAACGACUGCUAAUACCGCAUAAUGUCUACGGACCAAAGGGGGCUUCGGCUCUCGCCUUUAGAUUGGCCCAAGUGGGAUUAGCUAGUUGGUGAGGUAAUGGCUCACCAAGGCGACGAUCCCUAGCUGGUUUGAGAGGAUGAUCAGCCACACUGGGACUGAGACACGGUCCAGACUCCUACGGGAGGCAGCAGUGGGGAAUAUUGCACAAUGGGCGCAAGCCUGAUGCAGCCAUGCCGCGUGUGUGAAGAAGGCCUUCGGGUUGUAAAGCACUUUCAGUCAGGAGGAAAGGUUAGUAGUUAAUACCUGCUAGCUGUGACGUUACUGACAGAAGAAGCACCGGCUAACUCCGUGCCAGCAGCCGCGGUAAUACGGAGGGUGCGAGCGUUAAUCGGAAUUACUGGGCGUAAAGCGUACGCAGGCGGUUUGUUAAGCGAGAUGUGAAAGCCCCGGGCUCAACCUGGGAACUGCAUUUCGAACUGGCAAACUAGAGUGUGAUAGAGGGUGGUAGAAUUUCAGGUGUAGCGGUGAAAUGCGUAGAGAUCUGAAGGAAUACCGAUGGCGAAGGCAGCCACCUGGGUCAACACUGACGCUCAUGUACGAAAGCGUGGGGAGCAAACAGGAUUAGAUACCCUGGUAGUCCACGCCGUAAACGAUGUCUACUAGAAGCUCGGAACCUCGGUUCUGUUUUUCAAAGCUAACGCAUUAAGUAGACCGCC